CGCGGGAUGGAGCAGUUCGGUAGCUCGUCGGGCUCAUAACCCGAAGGUCGUAGGUUCAAAUCCUGCUCCCGCAACCA
rnacentral:tRNA from 1 species